rnacentral:rRNA from 1 species
CCUACGGGAGGCAGCAGUGAGGAAUAUUGGUCAAUGGGCGAGAGCCUGAACCAGCGAAGUCGCGUGAGUGAAGACGGUCCUACGUAUUGUAAACCUCAUUUGCCAGGGAGCAAGGAGCGCCACGAGUGGUGCGGCGAGAGUAGCUGAAGAAAAAGCAUGGGCUAACUCCGUGCCAGCAGCCGCGGUAAUACGUAGGAUGCGAGCGUUAUCCGGAUUUAUUGGGUGUAAAGGGGGCGCAGGCGGAAGCGGCAAGUGAGCGGUAAAAUUGCGGGGCUCAACCUCGCCGAGCCGUUGAAACUGGUCGGCUAGAGUGGGCGAGAGGUAUGCGGAAUGCGUGGUGUAGCGGUGAAAUGCAUAGAUAUUACGCAGAACUCCGAUUGCGAAGGCAGCAUACCGGCGCCCAACUGACGCUCAUGCACGAAAGCGUGGGUAUCGAACAGGAUUAGAUACCCCAGUAGUC